rnacentral:lncRNA from 1 species
GGAAUACAAGUGCGAGUCCAAGUCCCACAUUGGAUAGAAAUGAGAAAGUAGAGCACUAUAUAUAAAGAUGAAAGACCCGUUAACCCAUUGCCUUAAGGUUUUGGGUAGAGAGUGGUGUCAAUUCCUUAUAUGGUUGGGCUCAUAUCUCAUUAUUAUUGUGUCUUCCCGGAGAACCUCCUCCUUGAUAGACCCAACAGUGGUAUCAGAGCCAGGGGGAGUGUACCAAUAUGGAAGGGACUCACUCUUGAGGGGGAGAUUGUUAGGAAUACAAGUGCGAGUCCAAGUCUCACAUUUGAUAGAAAUGAGAAAGUAUAGCACUACAUAUAAAGAUGAGUGGUGUCAAUCCUUUGUAUGGUUGGGCUCAUAUCUCAUUGUAUUUGUAUCUCCCCGAUAAACCUCCUCCUUGAUAGACCCAACAACUUUUUCCUUUCUUUUUUUCUUCUUCACCAUCUACACUUACCACCUUCAACAACCUCAUUUUUUCGCUUUCCUUUCCACCAUCUACAAUUAGCAUGAACAAAAUAACUAUUUUAUAUAACAUAACAACACUAAAUCAUAUGAAGAUUCCAAACCCUAACUCAUGAUUCUUUAUGAUCAUCUUGUUGGACAAAAUUCUCCAGUACAUGGAAUUGUGGCUCAUAUUGAUGAAGAAUUCAUAGCCAAAGGCCUACAUCAACC